AGGAAGUACUGGAAUUUAUGUACCGUUCCGAUACCACGAAAUAAAGCCCUAAAGAAAAUAUACGUGAAAAUAGAUUAUUUAUGUUAUUCUUCUGUUUUAACGACUUU